rnacentral:lncRNA from 1 species
CUCUUCUUCGUGGGGAGGCUGAAGAAUCAGAACUGUCAUGCCAAAGAGAGAAAAGCAAGCCUAGGGAGAAAAAACAGUCUGAUGUUUAUACCGGGAUGUUCCUUCUAAGAUAAAGCCCAGGGAACUUUCUGUCAGUCAUGGCCUGAUGAGUACGUGCUUAUUUCCUGGGUGUCAUCAGUAUUGCUGAGCUGUGAGGCCAGAACUGCAAGGGCCAAGAAAUGCACCUUGUCACCUGCUAGAAAGAUCUAACAGCCACAUAGAAUGCUAAGGGUCUUAAUCCCUAAGGAGAUUACCUACCUUGAAUUUUGAAUUCCUGUCAUCCUAGGCCAUCUUUCUCAAACUUGUGUAAGUGUACCUGUCAUGAAAACCAGAAGAUGCUUGGCAAGCGUGG